CAAAAUUCCUCACUCGUUUUCCCCCCAUUUCAGCUUGUUCUCCUCUAUAAAAGCCAAUUUAUUCUUCAUUAAGAGGGACGGGCAAAAAAUUUUACAACGUAUGGGAGAACAGUGAGAAAAAAAUAUAAGAAAGGAGUCGCAAUUUACAAAGUAUAGACAACUUAUAUUAGAGCAAGAUGAUAAGGAAAUAAAAUGGAUAUAAACAAGGCAUUUUGAGAUAGGUUGCGAGAUUGGGAGUAUUUGGAGCCAUACUUCCUCGGUUUUACCUCUUGCGAGUUUGGUGUAGUCUAUUUGUAGUCGUGGAAAGCUCUUUAGCUCGUUUUGUCUCAGUUCGCUGCCACAAAUAAGGUAACAUUCCUUCCCUUAUUCUCUUUUGCUACAGUUCUAUUUUUCAUAUGAUAAGAAAUGCAUAUUUCAGUGAUUUUCAUUUUUGUUUUCUUAUGUGCAUUUAGCCUAUCUCUCGUUUCUUUAGCUUCUGAGUUUCAGAGUUAUUCUCAGGUUUCUGUAUGUUUAAAUUUUACUCCAAUCACAAAUCUUUAGUAUAAAUCAACCUUCUAUUGUUUAUUCCGUUCUAAAUGAAUUGUUAUCGCUUUAGCGGUUUAUUUUAAACUCUGUUGUUGAUAAGAUAGCCUCAUGUUUCUUGUUUCAAACUUGCGGUAUCUUGACUCUAGUAUAAUUUCUGAUUUCUUAGAUUAUGAUUUUUGGUGUUGGACUGCUGGAUUCAUUCUGGAAUACUCAAUAGAUGUAGUCUUAUGUUCAAGUUUAGAUGUUCAACCUAUCGAAUUGAGCUCAUAAUGUUGUUGCUUGUUUGAAUGACUUAAGAUGUAUGCUGAUUUCCUCUCUUGUUGGCUUAAUCUGAAAUUCCCUCAUGUCCAUUUAAUUCAACCCCCUAUUUACUGUAGCAUCGUAAUUAUUUUUCUCUUCAUUGGCUAAAAUCUGGUUGCGAAUUGUUGAGAUCUAAGUUUAAAUUUCAGGUUCUAGUUUGUUUAAAGUUCAUGAAUGUUUUAAGUCUCGUGUUUACCUUAGUUUCUACUCGUCUACCCACCUAUUCUGUUUUGAUUCGUACCACCCUGUUCUGAAUUUAUUUGGUAUUCGUUUAGUCUAGUUUAGCUUCGAAUUUUGUCACCUGAAUCAAGUCCUGCCUUGUUGUUCAUUUGGAGCUUUACUUUCUUACAUUAAGCCCAUGUAAGCGUGGUUAAUUGUUAAGCAUAUGUCCAGCAUGUUUCCAUCUUUUUUUUCUUCGCCUGGUUGAAUUAGUAUGAUAAUAUGCCCUCACUGUUUUCCCUAUCUAAAUUAAGCUUGUUUUGAGUGCAUUUUGCCAUCAAUGUUGUUAGUUACCGUCUCCAGGGGGUAUGUUUAUUUCAUUUCCUUUGGGUCUGAUUUGGUGGUCUUUCCUAAUAUGCUGUAGUAGCAUUGGUUCAUUGAUAUAAAACUAUAUUCAUUGUUAAAGUGACUAGGUUAGGGUAGCUUCAAAUUCAUUUGGUUAUGUGAGAUUAGAAUGUUUCAUUUAAUAUCAUUCGGAAUAGAUGAAUUAUAGGAUAACAACUUCGAUAUUAACAGUGGAAUAUUAUAUUGCGCAGUAUUUUAUAGCAUCGUCCUUUUUUAUUUAUCAUUUUGAACUUUUAUUAACUUACUUACAUCCAUUUCUUUUGCAUGUGAAUUUGCCCAAGUCUUCACGGACUCUAUCUUUGCAUUUCAAAGGGGCCACGAAUCCCCCCAAAAUUCCUUUUUCGAGUCGGCCAACAUGAAAAAUCGAAGUGCAGGUCCUUGACAUUGACGUACAGGUGUUUGGAGCGAAUCAAAGUGCUGGAUACACACAAUAUACAGCGAUAUACAUCAGUCGUAUACACUAAAUAUUGCAUUGAAAAUGGGCUAAAAGAGCCCUAAAUUUUCAGCUUUGUAUUUUGUUACUUUUGGGCCUAAGCUCUUCAUUUGCAAUUAUUAUUAUCACUUGUUAGUUCUUAGGACAGGUGAAAGAUGGGCCUAAGGCCCAAAGAAAUCAAUUUCAAGAUUAGUCUAGGACAUGUAUUAAGUAUUGGGCCUUUGGACCCAAAAUUGAAGACCCAAGUGCAGACCCAGGCAGACAGAACUAGACUUAGGCCCAAACAUUUCUUCUCUUUAUUUGCUUACCUGUUUUUUAUGGUGUCUUAUUUGUUCAAUUAAUUAUAAGAUUUUUCACUAACUCAAUUCCCCAAAGAAGAAUCAACUAUGUCUUUUAAAAUCAAAUAAGCUACACUUUAUUUUACUUGAAUUUAAUUUUUUUAAAAGUAUUUUUGAUAUUUUUCUACUUAAGCAAUAACCUUAUUUCCCCUCCCAUAAAAAUGAGUUCAAAAAAAAAAUGUUUACUUCAUAUAUUUAUCCAAGCAUGCCUAUUCUCUAAAUAAUUUAGCCAAAUAUAAUUAAUCAUUAGAUAACCGCAUGUUAGCGGGAAUUCAGGUGCUUUCAAACCCUUCUCGAAAUGCUAAUAAGAAC
rnacentral:lncRNA from 1 species